rnacentral:tRNA from 1 species
GGCCCCGUCGUCUAGCGGCCUAGGACAUCGCCCUUUCACGGCGGUAACACGGGUUCGAUUCCCGUCGGGGUCA